rnacentral:rRNA from 1 species
GGAUAACCUACCCUUAGGACCGGGAUAACCCUGGGAAACUGGGGAUAAUACUGGAUAGGCAAUUUUUCCUGUAAUGGUUUUUUGUUUAAAUGUUUUUUCGCCUAAGGAUGGGUCUGCGGCCGAUUAGGUAGUUGGUUAGGUAAUGGCUUACCAAGCCGUUGAUCGGUACGGGUUGUGAGAGCAAGAGCCCGGAGAUGGAACCUGAGACAAGGUUCCAGGCCCUACGGGGUGCAGCAGGCGCGAAACCUCCGCAAUGUGAGAAAUCGCGACGGGGGGAUCCCAAGUGCCAUUCUUAACGGGAUGGCUUUUCAUUAGUGUAAAGAGCUUUUGGAAUAAGAGCUGGGCAAGACCGGUGCCAGCCGCCGCGGUAACACCGGCAGCUCUAGUGGUAGCAAUUUUUAUUGGGCCUAAAGCGUCCGUAGCCGGUUUAAUAAGUCUCUGGUGAAAUCCUGCAGCUUAACUGUGGGAAUUGCUGGAGAUACUAUUAGACUUGAGACCGGGAGAGGUUAGAGGUACUCCCAGGGUAGAGGUGAAAUUCUGUAAUCCUGGGAGGACCGCCUGUUGCGAAGGCGUCUAGCUGGAACGGUUCUGACGGUGAGGGACGAAAGUUAGGGGCGCGAACCGGAUUAGAUACCCGGGUAGUCCUAACUGUAAACGAUGCGGACUUGGUGUUGGGGUGGCUUUGAGCUGCUUCAGUGCCGAAGGAAGCUGUUAAGUCCGCCGCCUGGGAA